rnacentral:rRNA from 1 species
UAUGUGAUCGUCUCUCGCAUAUCAAUAAGCGGAGGAAAAGAAACUAACAAGGAUUCCCCUAGUAACGGCGAGUGAAGCGGGAAGAGCUCAAAUUUGAAAUCUUAAAGGGUUUCCCUUUACGAAUUGUAGUUUAAAGAAGUGUUUUCUGUUGAGGUUUUGGUAAAAGUUCUUUGGAAUAGGACAUCAUAGAGGGUGAGAAUCCCGUAUUUGACCUUUACUUUCAACUUUGUGAUACACUUUCAAAGAGUCGGAUUGUUUGGGAAUGCAGUCCAAAAUGGGUGGUAAAUUUCAUCUAAAGCUAAAUAUUGGCGAGAGACCGAUAGCGAACAAGUACCGUGAGGGAAAGAUGAAAAGAACUUUGAAAAGAGAGUUAAACAGUACGUGAAAUUGUCAAAAGGGAAGCGUUUGACACCAGUGUUGUUUUUCUGAAAAUCAAUUAAAGAACUGUUUAUGCUAAGCUGUUUAGACUUUAUCAGCUAUCUGUUUAGUUUUGAGCUUUUCUUUAAUGCACUUUUCAGUUAACAAGUCAACAUCAAUUUCUUUUGCUGUAAAAAAGCUUGAGGAAGGUGGCUUGAGAUUCGUCUUAAGUGUUUAUAGCCUCUUGCCUAUGCAGUCGGAGAGAUUGAGGUCUGCAGCGUAGAUCCUUCGGGGCUAAAUGCAUUUGUGCUAAGUUAUAGCAUUUUAUAGACAACUUGUUGACUAUGAUUUGUCUUGUAGCUUACUCGCUUAUGUUAUUUUACCUACGCUUAGGAUGUUGACGCGCGUGUGUGCGUG